ACUCCUACGGGAGGCAGCAGUGGGGAAUUUUGGACAAUGGGCGAAAGCCUGAUCCAGCCAUGCCGCGUGAGUGAAGAAGGCCUUCGGGUUGUAAAGCUCUUUCAGCCGGAAAGAAAUCGCGCAGGAUAAUACUCUGCGUGGAUGACGGUACCUGCAGAAGGAGCACCGGCUAACUACGUGCCAGCAGCCGCGGUAAU
rnacentral:rRNA from 1 species